CGCCCGGCCCAGACAUUGUUAAGUCCAUUUACUGAUCCUUUGAGGAAGAAGAGGAGAGUGAGUGUGUCGGAUGCGCCUGCAACCCCGCCAUGUUUUGAUCCAUCAAAACCGCUGCCCAUUGAAGAUGUGAAGGCAGUAAUAGAUUUUUGCACUGCCUGGAAAAACGAUAUCAGUGUGCAGGUGCAGCUUGAAGCAUUUUCCGUGGGCGCUGAUUUUUUCUACAAACUCAUCGAUGAAACGGCAUGGAUUAGCUCAGGGCACCUGUAAAUGGCAACCUUUCUUAUCCGGAAAAGGCAACUCUCUCAUCCGUUGCUAUUUGGAACCGACUGGAUAACGACAGAUUAUGCCUUGCAGCAAUUUCUAGAGCCGUUAAAAGCGACUGGCAAGACACGUGGAUCGAAGAAGGCAGCUACUUCAAACUCCAGUGACCUUCCAGCCAACAAGCUGAAGAAUGUACAUCACUUUGUGCACGGUACAUGGCAACA